CUGAAACCUCCUCUGUAUUUGUGCUUCUCAGCUUUCAAUUUUCAAUCCUGUAGUGGAAACUCAGCUUCUCAGCUCUGAGAUGAGUGUUACAAAGGCUUCCUUACCUAUGCUCAGCACUACAAGCAGCCCGCAGGAGGGAGAAGUGGAAUUUCCUAGGGAGAUACAAGGGGACUUUUGACUACUGGAUCGGCCUGCACAGAGUCGUCAAAGCACCCUUGGAGGUGGACAGACAACACUGAGUAUAACAACAUGAACUCAGCAACCCAUGGCCGCUGGUGGCGACACUGCACAGAGAGUCAACAGAACACUUUUGGUGGUGGACAGACAACACUGAAUAUAACAGCUUGUAUGUUUCAGACUGCUUUUCCUUCUACUGUGUUCCUGUGGUGUGAUGUUUGUCAAUUGUAGCUAAUGAAAGAAAAUGAGAUUUUGUAUCUUGUGAUUCAUGUAAAAGAGUUGUCUAUGAGCUGUGGCCUGGGGCCGAGAACAAAGCAGAAGACAAAGACAGGGCUGUUGUUAAGACAUUCCUAAGAACAGCUUGAUUGUACAAGCAGGGCUACCUUGUCUGGCUCAACACCACCUGGCCGGAACCUCCCCUCUGUCUACUGCCCCUUGACGUCGGGUAAAGUCAUACAUCAGCUGGUUGCUAUGUGAACAAAAUAAGCCCCCAGCUCACAGGAACAAAGUCCUGAUGCCCUUUUGCUAACAUGUAAUCUUUCUGUUAAUAUUUAAAUAAGCCAAUAGUGUGUCACUAUGCUGAAUUUCACACCCCUAAGCUCCUUACCCCAUAAAAACCCCUAGCUUUCAAGCCUCGUGGCCGACUUCCAUUAUCUCCUGUGUGGGAUGCAUGUUGGGUCCGGAGCUCCGUCAUUAAAUGUCCUCAUGUAAUUACAUCAAGAGAUGGUCCUUCGUGAUUUUUUGGGUGCACACCGAAUCGGGAAUUGGGUGGGGGUUUCCCCACUAGGUCUAACACUAUGAGACGUGACAAGCUGAGUAUGUGAAGCCAAGUAUACUGGAAAGGAGGAGAAAUAAGCUCUUGGUCUGGACAUAUGGCCGCAGCAAACCCUAUGUCCCCUCAGAUCUAAUCCCUUCACUCUGCAAGCUCUAAAUCCCCUCAUAUCUAAUUGCUUUUUCUGCCCUUCCAUUUACUAGCUGUAGAAACUCUAUCCUUGCUGUGAUUUCACUUAAAUCCUUAGUGUUGUGGUGGAGUCUGGGCUAGCUCUUUUCCACUCCUUUACCAAUUAAAAUGAUUCCUUUCUAUAAGCAUGCUAUGCAGCAUGUAGACAGAACUGCAUAUGGGCACUUGGGAUUCUAGUGUCCCCCCAAAUCACUGCUCAGUGUAAGUGUGAGACUCAUCAGCCCACUCUUUGCCCAACUGCACCUGUUCACCUGCACAGGCUGCAGGGUCCCUGGGAACCUCCUCUAAAGUCUCAUCAUCAGAAACCAAGAGCUCCAUCUUGGAUGGGAAACAUUUCAGUGGUAGGUUUUAUUUGUUUGUUUGUUUGUUUUUUGAGACAAGGUUUCUCUGUGCAGCCAGCAUUUCCCUCGAAUUUGCUCUGUAGACCAGGCUGGCCUGGACCUUGGAGCUCCACCAUCCACUGCUUGUCAAGUGUAUAGAUUACACUCAUGAUCUGCUACAUUUGUUUCAGUAGGAUGACCUUAGCUUUACUCAUGUACUGGAAAGGUAUAGUCUAAGGGCCCCAAUUACUUCCAUCCACCAAAGGAAUUCAUUAUAGUCAUUUACAAUAAGGUAUUUGAAAGGAUUUAUGUAUUAACAAGUAAGUUUGGAAAGCUGAACAUGUAUUCAGCAAAGCCUGAAGGGGCAAUGGCUUUAUGAAUGUUGCAGCAAGCUUGGUUCUAUACCUUGAUUAUACACAGCUAAUCCUAGUAGUGUGUGCUUCCAUGUGCAUGAAUACACAUGUGUGGUAAUCAAGCAAAGGCCUCAGGAGGUGAAGACAUCAAAUGUUGAUGCAGGAUAGCCUGGUGAUGGACUUUUGAUUUUCGCUUAUCCAUAUGAAAAGUUGGAGUAGCUGUGUUAAAGAUUAUAAUGGGUGAUAAAUGUUGUUAUCCAUAUUAUGGGUAUUUAACAAUUUCUUGUUGGAUUUUAAGUAUGCCAUCAGAGAGACUGAAGAAGACAACUACCUCAAUAAUACAGGAAUCAGAGGUGCCAGGAUCAACACAGAGAAGGAAUGGAUUCAUAGCAAGAUGUAAUUGCAGCCCUUGUUAAAUUACUUAGCUUUUUUGAUUAUCAAAUUAAGUUCUUAUUUAAAAAUAAAAUAUAUGUUUUUAU
rnacentral:lncRNA from 1 species